UACAGAGGUCCCAAGCGUUGUUCGGAUUUACUGGGCGUAAAGGGCACGUAGGCGGCCACCGCAAGUCGGUUGUGAAAUCUCUGGGCUUAACCCAGAAAGGUCAACCGAUACUGCGGGGCUAGAGUGCAGAAGGGGCAACUGGAAUUCUCGGUGUAGCGGUGAAAUGCGUAGAUAUCGAGAGGAACACCUGCGGCGAAGGCGGGUUGCUGGGCUGACACUGACGCUGAAGCGCGAAAGCUAGGGGAGCGAACGGG
rnacentral:rRNA from 1 species